CAGCCACAGAAUAGCUUAUUCUAUGGCCACCUGAAUUUACUACUGUUUUUACGAGAUUGUGGAUACAUAUUUAUGAUACAAGUGUGUUAUCAUAACAAGUGAUGAUAUUUACCAUCAUCUGAUAGUAAAUCACUUAAGGGUAGUGCAGUAAAUCUCUGCAUUUGUUAUGGUAACACACUUGUAUUAUAAAUAUGUAUCCACACUAUCGUAAAAUCAGUAGAAUCGUGAUAGUAAAUUCAGGUGGCCAUAGAAUAAGCUAUUCUGUGGCUG
rnacentral:pre_miRNA from 1 species